UCAUGUUUGACUCUGAAUGCUUCUUCAAUCCUCAUGUCUUCACUCUCCUCUUUAAUAAACAUCUUUAUUAUAGUGUCACGUGGAUCUCAGUUGAGUUUAUCUGUGUUCAGAUGAAUAACAA